rnacentral:lncRNA from 1 species
AUGCUUGGUGCCAGGGUCCUUUGUGCCCGAAGAAAUCUUAACGCCGAAGUUAUCUCUAGGCGUCAAGUCUCAAUGCCAUUGUUCCCCGCCGCAACGGAGGCUCCUCUGAUUCCGCAGAUAAACACGGCAGCCGAGGGGGGGAAGCGUGACAAGUUCUCCAAGAACUCCCAGCCGAGCUGCAGGAGCUCUGAGUAGUUUGGGAAGAGGAUUUUCGCUGCUUCCCUAGCUGGAUCCUUGUAGAAGGAGACGCCUUGCCUGGGGCGGGAGCAGAUCUUUGCACUGCAGUCAAAUAUCAGCGUCUGUGUCUGUCUCUAUACACACUGCGCGUCUAACGGGGUUUCUGCUACGCCUGUGUACAUGCGGGGAGUGUGUUAAUGGUAGAUAUGUGUGUACGUGCCUGCCUAUAUAGCGCUUGUACGUAGGUUUGCCUCUGUGCGGGAUUUCCCAUUUGAACCGCAUCAUUCUGAUUUUGGAUUGCAUCCCCCGAAAUCUGAAUCUUUUUUUUCCUGUCCGCUGUGCCAAAAUGCCUCUGUGUAUUUGCAGAACGGGCGAGUCUGUACGAAACGUUUGCAAUGGCAGGAAACGCUGAGAAAAGGCGAUCCUGAACUUCCAGUUCAAUAGAGAUCGCAAAUGCCUGCAAAAUCCUCCCGCAAAGCCCCGAGCCUAGGUACUCGCUCUGCAGUGUGCUGCUCAUGAAAUAGCACUCACUGGUGCCCCUCACUUAAAAAUGACGAUGUCCUUCCUGUUGCAGCUGGGAGUAAGAGCCAGCGAAAUCGUAGCUUUGCUAAUUUGAUUAUGCCGGGAUGGAGGUCUGGGAGUAUUUUUAUUUAGCCACGAUUGCUAAAAGAGUGCUUCAUUCCUAACUCUUCCGAUUUCAUUUUACGAUUUGAUGUGAACGUGUAUUUUUGCCCUGUUUGUGGUCUGUUGCAUCUAUGUAACUCAUUGUGAUCCUUGAACUAUUUGAAACGCGUAUUGUACGAGGCUAAUGCCGCCCCUCACGAGCCUCGUGGCCCGUUUGUAAGAUAUACUUCGGGAAAACUCGCUGUAAAAGGACAAAAAGAGAGGCGAAAGCUCGAGUGUUAUUAUCAAAAAGUUGACCGCGUGAAAAUGUCUGUAAUUUUUUACUAUAUUUUAACUGUUGCUUUCUGUACACCCUUUCCUGACACUUGGAUGCUGGCAGUGAAAAAAAUUUAGAAAAAUACAGGGAAAUAAAAAUACAGACACGUUCUUUUAAACGUUAUUG